rnacentral:ncRNA from 15 species
CGGGAGUAACUAUGACUCUCUAAAUUGCAAAAUUUACCUUUGGAGGGAAAAGUUAUCAGGCCUGCACCUGAUAGCUAGUCUUUAAACCAAUAGAUUGCAUCGGUUUAAUAGGCAAGACCGUCAAAUUGCGGGAAAAGGGUCAACAGCCGUUCAGUACCAAGUCUCAGGGGAAACUUUGAGAUGGCCUUGCAAAGGAUAUGGUAAUAAGCUGACGGACAGGGUCCUAACCACGCAGCCAAGUCCUAAGUCAACAUUUCGGUGUUGAUAUGGAUGCAGUUCACAGACUAAAUGUCGGUCGGGGAAGAAUAGGUAUUCUUCUCAUAAGAUAUAGUCGGACCUCUCCUUAAUGGGAGCUGGCGGAUGAAGUGGUGCAACACCAGAGCCGCCGGGAACUAAUAAUAAACAUAAUAUUAGUUUUGGACUAAUCGUAAGGUAGCCAAAUGCCUCGUCA